GUGAAUCAUCGAAUCUUUGAACGCAAAUUGCACUCCUUGGUAUUCCGGAGAGCAUGCCUGUUUGAGGGUCAGUUUAAACAAAAAUCGGUGCGGUUGCUGCCUUUCGUGGUGACGCACCGGAUUUGGGUCGUCUCGUAUUCGGUUAAGUGACCAAAAAUUUUGCAUGAUAUUUUUCGAACGUAUUUAAAUGAUUUCAUGUACGUUUGCGUCAUCGAAUACUAGGUGUCGUUAUUCUCCUGUU
rnacentral:misc_RNA from 1 species